rnacentral:rRNA from 1 species
CCAAGGCUAAAUACUCCUGACUGACCGAUAGUGAACCAGUACCGUGAGGGAAAGGCGAAAAGAACCCCGGCGAGGGGAGUGAAAAAGAACCUGAAACCGUGUACGUACAAGCAGUGGGAGCACGCUUAGGCGUGUGACUGCGUACCUUUUGUAUAAUGGGUCAGCGACUUAUAUUCUGUAGCAAGGUUAACCGAAUAGGGGAGCCGAAGGGAAACCGAGUCUUAACUGGGCGUUAAGUUGCAGGGUAUAGACCCGAAACCCGGUGAUCUAGCCAUGGGCAGGUUGAAGGUUGGGUAACACUAACUGGAGGACCGAACCGACUAAUGUUGAAAAAUUAGCGGAUGACUUGUGGCUGGGGGUGAAAGGCCAAUCAAACCGGGAGAUAGCUGGUUCUCCCCGAAAGCUAUUUAGGUAGCGCCUCGUGAAUUCAUCUCCGGGGGUAGAGCACUGUUUCGGCAAGGGGGUCAUCCCGACUUACCAACCCGAUGCAAACUGCGAAUACCGGAGAAUGUUAUCACGGGAGACACACGGCGGGUGCUAACGUCCGUCGUGAAGAGGGAAACAACCCAGACCGCCAGCUAAGGUCCCAAAGUCAUGGUUAAGUGGGAAACGAUGUGGGAAGGCCCAGACAGCCAGGAUGUUGGCUUAGAAGCAGCCAUCAUUUAAAGAAAGCGUAAUAGCUCACUGGUCGAGUCGGCCUGCGCGGAAGAUGUAACGGGGCUAAACCAUGCACCGAAGCUGCGGCAGCGACGCUUAUGCGUUGUUGGGUAGGGGAGCGUUCUGUAAGCCUGUGAAGGUGUGCUGUGAGGCAUGCUGGAGGUAUCAGAAGUGCGAAUGCUGACAUAAGUAACGAUAAAGCGGGUGAAAAGCCCGCUCGCCGGAAGACCAAGGGUUCCUGUCCAACGUUAAUCGGGGCAGGGUGAGUCGACCCCUAAGG